AGAGUUGAUCUGGCUCAGGACGAACGCUGGCGGCGUGCUUAACACAUGCAAGUCGAGCGAUGAAGCUCUCAGAAGUGGAUUAGCGGCGGACGGGUGAGUAACACGUGGGUAACCUGCCUCAUAGAGGGGAAUAGCCUUCCGAAAGGAAGAUUAAUACCGCAUAAGAUUGUAAUAUCGCAUGAUAUAGCAAUUAAAGGAGUAAUCCGCUAUGAGAUGGACCCGCGUCGCAUUAGCUAGUUGGUGAGGUAACGGCUCACCAAGGCGACGAUGCGUAGCCGACCUGAGAGGGUGAUCGGCCACAUUGGGACUGAGACACGGCCCAGACUCCUACGGGAGGCAGCAGUGGGGAAUAUUGCACAAUGGGGGAAACCCUGAUGCAGCAACGCCCGCGUGAGUGAUGACGGUCUUCGGAUUGUAAAGCUCUGUCUUCAGGGAUGAUAAUGACGGUACCUGAGGAGGAAGCCACGGCUAACUACGUGCCAGCAGCUGC
rnacentral:rRNA from 1 species